rnacentral:rRNA from 1 species
AACGAACGCUGGCGGCAGGCUUAACACAUGCAAGUCGAACGCUCUCUUCGGAGAGAGUGGCAGACGGGUGAGUAACACGUGGGAACCAACCCUUCGGUACGGAAUAGCCUCGGGAAACUGGGAGUAAUACCGUAUACGCCCCUUGGGGGAAAGAUUUAUCGCCGAAGGACGGGCCCGCGUCUGAUUAGCUAGUUGGUGAGGUAAUGGCUCACCAAGGCGACGAUCAGUAGCUGGUCUGAGAGGAUGAUCAGCCACACUGGGACUGAGACACGGCCCAGACUCCUACGGGAGGCAGCAGUGGGGAAUAUUGGACAAUGGGGGAAACCCUGAUCCAGCCAUGCCGCGUGAGUGACGAAGGCCUUAGGGUUGUAAAGCUCUUUUGGCGGGGACGAUAAUGACGGUACCCGCAGAAUAAGCUCCGGCUAACUUCGUGCCAGCCGCCGCAGUAACAC